rfam:Schistosoma mansoni strain Puerto Rico chromosome 4, complete genome
AUCCAGCUGACGAAUCCCAAAUGGGACGAAACGCGCGUCCUGGAU